rnacentral:rRNA from 1 species
UACGAAGGGGGCUAGCGUUGCUCGGAAUUACUGGGCGUAAAGCGCACGUAGGCGGCUCUUUAAGUCGGGGGUGAAAUCCUGGAGCUCAACUCCAGAACUGCCUUCGAUACUGUAGAGCUUGAGUUCGGGAGAGGUGAGUGGAACUGCGAGUGUAGAGGUGAAAUUCGUAGAUAUUCGCAAGAACACCAGUGGCGAAGGCGGCUCACUGGCCCGAUACUGACGCUGAGGUGCGAAAGCGUGGGGAGCGAACAGG